UUGGAUUAAUCCCCUAUAAUAUCAAAAUUCCGCAUGGUUUUUUGAUUAAAGCUUCGGUGGUAAGAGAUGAGCAUGCGUCCUAUUAGUUUGUAGGUGAGGUAACGGCUCACCUAGACUACGAUAGGUAGGGGCCCUGAGAGGGGGAUCCCCCACACUGGUACUGAGACACGGACCAGACUCCUACGGGAGGCAGCAGUGAGGAAUAUUGGACAAUGGACGAAAGUCUGAUCCAGCUAUGCCGCGUGCAGGAUGACAGCCCUACGGGUUGUAAACUGCUUUUAUACAGGAAGAAAAACUCCGACGUGUCGGGGCUUGACGGUACUGUAAGAAUAAGGAUCGGCUAA
rnacentral:rRNA from 1 species